rnacentral:rRNA from 1 species
AGUGAACGCUGGCGGCAGGCCUAAUACAUGCAAGUCGAACGGCAGCACAGUGGAGCUUGCUCCAUGGGUGGCGAGUGGCGGACGGGUGAGGAAUACAUGGGAAUCUGCCCAGUCGUGGGGGAUAACGUAGGGAAACUUACGCUAAUACCGCAUGCGCCCUUCGGGGGAAAGCCGGGGACCUUCGGGCCUGGCGCGAUUGGAUGAGCCCAUGUUCGAUUAGCUAGUUGGCGGGGUAAAGGCCCACCAAGGCGACGAUCGAUAGCUGGUCUGAGGGGAUGAUCAGCCACACUGGGACUGAGACACGGCCCAGACUCCUACGGGAGGCAGCAGUAGGGAAUAUUGGACAAUGGGCGCAAGCCUGAUCCAGCCAUGCCGCGUGAGUGAAGAAGGCCCUCGGGUUGUAAAGCUCUUUUGUCCGGGAAGAAAAGCAUCGGGCUAAUACCUCGGUGUUCUGACGGUACCGGAAGAAUAAGCACCGGCUAACUUCGUG